rfam:Larimichthys crocea isolate SSNF unplaced genomic scaffold scaffold6, whole genome shotgun sequence.
GGCGCCGUGGCUUAGAUGGUUAAAGUGCCUGUCUAGUAAACAGGAGAUCCUGUGUUCAAAUCCAAGCGGUGCCU